rnacentral:rRNA from 1 species
AGGACGAACGCUGGCGGCGUGCUUAACACAUGCAAGUCGAGCGGAAAGGCCCUUCGGGGUACUCGAGCGGCGAACGGGUGAGUAACACGUGAGUAACCUGCCCCUAGCUCUGGGAUAGCUCCGGGAAACCGGGAUUAAUACCAGAUACGACCACUUUAGACAUCUGUCGUGGUGGAAAGGAUUCCGGCUAGGGAUGGGCUCGCGGCCUAUCAGCUUGUUGGUGGGGUAACGCCUACCAAGGCGACGACGGGUAGCCGGCCUGAGAGGGCGACCGGCCACACUUGGACUGAGACACGGCCCAGACUCCUACGGGAGGCAGCAGUGGGGAAUAUUGCGCAAUGGGCGAAAGCCUGACGCAGCGACGCCGCGUGGGGGAUGAAGGCCUUCGGGUUGUAAACCCCUUUCAGCAGGGACGAAGCGAAAGUGACGGUACCUGCAGAAGAAGCGCCGGCUAACUACGUGCCAGCAGCCGC